rnacentral:misc_RNA from 1 species
AAAGUCGUAACAAGGUUUCCGUAGGUGAACCUGCGGAAGGAUCAUUAAAAGUAAUAUGUAUUCUCACGAAUAUACAUUAUAAACCCAUCUGUGUAUCUUACCCGUUGCUUCCGCGAGGCAGUGAUCUCGGUCACCUCCGAACGACGGCGAAAGCCGUCCGAACGGGGAGCACUCGCGGGAGGUAUACAUCAAACCCUUGCAUUUUUUAUGUCGUCUGUCUGAACUGUUUAUAACAAAUGUUAAAACUUUCAACAACGGAUCUCUUGGUUCUC